rnacentral:rRNA from 1 species
GACGUAGGGGGCCAGCGUUGUUCGGAAUUACUGGGUGUAAAGGGUUCGUAGGCGGUGUAGCAAGUCGGGAGUGAAAUCUCUGGGCUUAACCCAGAGGCUGCUUCCGAAACUGCUGUGCUUGAGUGUGGGAGAGGCGCGUGGAAUUGCAGGUGUAGCGGUGAAAUGCGUAGAUAUCGGAAGGAACAUCGGUGGCGAAGGCGACUUUCUGGACAGACACUGACACUGAGGCACGAAAGCAUGGGGAGCAAACAGG